rnacentral:rRNA from 1 species
GCGAAGGGCGGGACAGGGGAGGCGGGAAAAGGUAGGAGGGUGGCGUUAGCCGGGGGUACUGGGAGUGAAGUGCGGGCAGGCGGGACCGGAAGUGGGGUGUGAAAUCUCUGGGCUAAACCGAGAGUGGGCGCCUCAGACGGCGGAACUAGAGUGGGAUAGAGGGACGUGGAAUUCCGGGUGGAGCGGUGAAAUGUGUAGAGAUCCGGAGGAACACCAGAGGCGCAAGCGGCGUCCUGGGUCCUAACUGACGCUGAGGCGCGAAAGCUUGGGGAGCGAACGGGAUUAGAUACCCCAGUAGUC